GUGAGGAAUUUUCCGCAAUGGGCGAAAGGCUGACGGAGCAAUGCCGCGUGAAGGAUGAAGGCCUAUGGGUUGUAAACUUCUUUUCUCAGAAAAGAAUUAUGACGGUAUCUGAGGAAUAAGCAUCGGCUAACUCUGUGCCAGCAGCCGCGGUAAGACAGAGGAUGCAAGCGUUAUCCGGAAUGAUUGGGCGUAAAGCGUCUGUAGGUUGUUUAAAAAGUAUUCUGUCAAAGAUUAGGGCUUAACCCUAGAUAGGCAGAAUAAACUUUUAAGCUAGAGUUUGGUAGAGGCAGAGGGAAUUCCCGGUGGAGCGGUGAAAUGCGUAGAUAUCGGGAGGAACACCAAAGGCGAAGGCACUCUGCUGGGCCAAUACUAACACUGAGAGACGAAAGCGAGGGGAGCAAAUGGGAUUAGAUACCCGGGUAGUCC
rnacentral:rRNA from 1 species